UGGGGGAUAUUGCACAAUGGGCGAAAGCCUGAUGCAGCGACGCCGCGUGGGGGAUGAAGGCCUUCGGGUUGUAAACUUCUUUUGCUCUGAACAAGGCAUGCCUUUGGGGUGUGUUGAGUGUAGGGGUUGAUUAGCGCCGGCUAACUACGUGCCAGCAGCCGCGGUAAUACGUAGGGCGCGAGCGUUGUCCGGAAUUAUUGGGCGUAAAGGGCUUGUAGGUGGCUGGUUGCGUCUGUCGUGAAAGCUCAUGGCUUAACUGUGGGUUUGCGGUGGGUACGGGCUGGCUUGAGUGCAGUAGGGGAGGCUGGAAUUCCUGGUGUAGCGGUGGAAUGUGCAGAUAUCAGGAGGAAUACCGGUGGCGAAGGCGGGUCUCUGGGCUGUUACUGACGCUGAGGAGCGAAAGCGUGGGGAGCGAACAGG
rnacentral:rRNA from 1 species